GAACAGGGGUAGUAUUGGAAUCCGAAGUUCCCGAAACUGAAGCAUUCAUUGCUUCCGUGGAAUGUUCAGAACGUUUCUCUCUCCCAAAUUAGUCGCAUCGUAAUUUCAUCUGACAAAGGAGAGGAUUUUGUGGAAGUUGCGUUUUCCGACGAGAUGAAGAGCCGAAGAAAGCUUAAAAAAUGCCAGAUUGUUAAAGAAAAAGAUUGCGAAGAUUGGUGUUUCGUCUGCAAAGAUGGUGGAGACCUAAUUCUCUGCGAUUUCAAUGAUUGUUUGAAGGUUUAUCAUCCAGGGUGUGUGGGAAAAGACGAUUCCUUUGUAAAGACUGGAGAACACUGGACUUGUGAUCGGCAUUCUUGUUUAAUAUGCCAUAAAUCUCCAAAAUUCUAUUGCUACUGCUGUCCUAAUGCCAUAUGUGGGCAAUGCGUCAUUGCUGCUGAGUUUGCUCCUGUUAGAGGGAAGAAAGGACUAUGCAGUGAGUGUUUGGAGCUUGUAUUGCUUGUUGAAGAUAAGGAGGAUUUGGAAAUUGAUGGGGGCAAGAUAGACUUAGGAGAUCGAGACACAUAUGAAUGCCUGUUCUUGGAAUAUUGGGAUAUCAUAAAAGAAGAUGAGGGCUUGAGUUUGGAUGAUGUCUAUACAGCAGAUGCCAGGUUGAAGAAGGGUCAGCAUUCUAAUUAUAGCUUCAAGUCAAAAACGAUUGGCAAAGGCAAAAAAGAUAAUAUAUUGAUAUUGUCUGAUAGUGAUCUGGAUGAUACUCAAGAGUUUGAAAGAACCGUAAAAGGCAAGAGGUCCAAGGCACUGGAAUUUAUGGGAUGGGGAUCGAAGCCUCUUAUUGAGUUUCUUAGCUCUCUUGGUAAAGAUACAACAAAAGAGUUAUCACAAUAUGAUGUUCAUUCAAUUAUUUGUGAAUAUAUUCAAGGAAAAAGACUUUUUGAUCCCAGAAAGAGGAAGAGGAUCCUUUGUGAUGAAAGGCUUUAUUCGGUUUUUAGGAGGAGAUCUAUGAAUAAGAAUAAACUGUAUAAUCUUCUAGAAGCUCAUUUUGUUGUGAACUUAGACCUAUCAGAUGAAGAUGAAAAAUUGGAUGAAGCUGAAGGCUUUUCCCAUAAAAAAACUGAAAAGAACCUGGUAAUUCACAAGAAGCAGAGAACUGUGAGUUCUAAUGGAAACUUGCAAGAGUUGGAAGUAGAUCCUAGCGUCCGAGAAAGCUGUUUUGCAUCUAUUGUUCCGGACAAUAUAAGACUUGUCUACUUAAGAAAAAGUUUAGUGGAGGAGCUGUUAAAAGAUCCUGAAAGUUUUGAACGUAAGGUAGUCGGAAGUUUUGUGAGAGUCAAAAAUGACCCAAGAGACUGUGUGCUGAGAAAUUCUCACCAGCUUUUGCAAGUAACAGGGAUAAAGAAAAUCUCAACAACUGGUGAAAAUAAUGGCGACAUUGUUCUAAGGGUUUCCAAUUUUCCAACAGAUGUUUGCAUUUACAUGUUGUCGGAUUCUGACUUCUGUGAGGAAGAGAUUGAUGAUUUGAAACAAAAAGUGGAGAAGGAAUUCCUUCCAAAGCCAACUGUUGCGGAGCUUGAAGAAAAGGCUAAAUAUCUGCGUGAGGAUAUAAUGAAAGAUUGGAUUGAGAAAGAGCUGGUCAGAUUACAAAAGCGCAUUGACUUUGCUAAUGAGAAGGGAUGGAGGAGAGAAUAUCCUUUCAUGGUGUAGUUUAAUGAGAGAAGGUUAUCACUCAAUAGCAUUCCUCUUUGCCGAUGUGAAGAAGAAGCGAAAUUAACAACAUUAUGGACCAAUGCACACCCUGGAAGAAGAUUCUAUAGAUGCACAAACUAUGACAGAAGCAAUUGUUGUUAUUAUUUUGAGUGGGUUGAUCCAAAAUUUCCAAGGCAAGCAAAUGUUAUCAUAGUUGGGCUGCUGAAUCGAAUCAAAAGGAUGGAGCUUGAGAGAGAUGUGGAAAAGAAAGAGAUUGAAAAAAAUUGUAGGAGAUGGAAAAUGGUUGUAGCAUAUUUCUUGUUGUGUGUGAUUGGAAGAAUUUUCUUUUGUGCUUAGCAUAAAAGCUGAUUAGUAAUGUUGGGUUCUGGCCCAAAAUUUUGUUAAUAUUUUAUAGUUGUUUCUGGGCCAAAAUUUUGUUAAUAUUUUAUAAUUGGCUCUUUUGUGUAUUUUGAUAGAACUUUAUGUGUAAUGUAAUUUGAGUUAAGAUAUUACUGCUUUGUAUUGCUUAAUAUAUUUAAUCAAUUAUGUAAUUUUAAUCA